rnacentral:rRNA from 1 species
GGAUAACGGAAGAGGGCGUCGGCUCGACUUCGUCGGUUCCUCGGGGCCGAGGCACGUACGGUGGAAUAGGGACGGUCGGGGCCGCCCGUACCGGGUCGUGAGAGGUGAAAUUCUAGGAUCGACCCGAGACGAACCGCCGCGAAAGCAUUCGGCAAGGACGCUUUCAUUAAUCAAGAACGAAAGUCGGGGGAUCGAAGACGAUCAGAUACCGUCGUAGUCCCGACCGUAAACGAUGCCGACCGAGGGCCCCGGAGGAGUUACGUACGACCCUCCGGGCCCUCCCGCGAGAAAUCAGGAGUAUUCGGGUUCCGGGGGGAGUAUGGUCGCAAGGCCGAACUUAAAGGAAUUGACGGAAGGGCACCACCAGGAGUGGAAUCUGCGGCUUAAUUUGACAACGCGGGAAAACUCACCAGGUCAGGACACGGUAAGGAUUGACGGACUGAAGGCUCUUCUCGAUUCCGUGGAAAGUGGUGCAUGGCCGUUUUUGGUUGGUGGAUCGAUCCGUCUGGUUAAUUCCGUUAACGAACGAGACCUCGGCACUCCGAAUAGCGCGGCGGACGUCGCGGCCUCCGGGCCGUCUUCCGCACGAGCUUC